rnacentral:misc_RNA from 1 species
GCCACUGGAAGUUCAGCCUCCCUCCUUCCAGGUCUCUGAUUGCCAUCCCUCCUGGACCAACUGCUCUCCUGUAGACUGUAAGGCUUUCCAUCACUUUGAUCCUCUAUGGCAACCCCAACAUUUUCCUCCUCAGCUGAUUGCUUCUUCUUCAAAUCCUUUGACACUGCAGGAUCCUCAACAAUCUCUCCAUCCUCCACCUUGACAACAGCAGACAAAAGCCGCCGUUUUGCAGGAGGUUGAUCUUCUGCAUCAUUCCUAUCUGCAGGUCGAACAAAGCCUCGCGGGCGAACAACAUUGGAGGCAAAGUUCCGAGGACCAGCACCAGACAACCCACCCCUUCGGAGCCCCCGAGGAUCACGCAGCCGCUCAGUAAUCUGACGCUGUUGGCGGAAGAGCUCAUCGAUCUCUCGCUGGAGCUCUUCCUCAGUCUUGUCAAUAGCGGUGGUGGUACCCAUAUCGGGUGCGGUUGCGGUUAGUUGCUCCAAGAAUUUGCGCGACCUCAACAAUACAGAGACCAGAAGCUACGUCUGUGACUGUAAGAGUUGUUGGGUGUGGUCGUGUUGGAGAGAAAGAAAACCCUUUUGAGGGCUUGGAAAAUUUGUGAUGUUUUAUGGACGGGGGUGGCCC